UUUCGAUGUUUCAUCAUCAUCAUAUCGACUGUGGUACGGCUAAUCGACGAGUCGAAACCUAAUCCAGAAUUUAUCGAAUGGAUCGUGAGGAGUUUUGAGCAGCGCAAGACUUUAUCCGCUGGAACAGUCAUAUUAGUCGUUGUUGUGGCUGUGCUUUUGCUUAACCCUGUUCUUGUGCCGCCUGCUUUUGCUAGCUUUCAAACGGCUACUAAAAGUACUGGUAGUGCUGUUGGUGGUAAACUCCUCCGGACUGAGGUAUUGACAAGUGCCUGGAUUGGUUUCUUUGCUGGUUGCUUACACACGUUGUCUACAUUUAUACUAAUCGGCUAAUCGCUGAUUUGCUUAGACAAAUUGGUAGAGCCUUUCAUGAUCUACAAUCUUGGUUCCAUGGUCCAACGAAUUUUGCCUAUAUUGCAUCUGUGCCUUGCAAGACAGCUAGCAGAGCAGAGAAAGAACAGUGUUUCCUCAGGCCUCUGGUUUAGGUAAAAAGAAGCCUGAUGGAACAGAACCUUCUCAAAGGUCUUCUCUCAGCUGAUUAAAGACGUUGCUUAAGUAUUGUGGUUACAUUGCUGUUGUGAAAAUAGAGAAGGAGAAUGAGGAGUUAAGCCACCUUCUCAAAGUUUUGACCUCCUUGAACAGCACAGGCCGGUGUGAUACUUUAUAUAUUGCUUCACAGUUUGCGUUUUUUUUCUUUUUCUCAGGCGAAGAAGCUUUGUAAUGGGAAGUUUGUUAAGUUUGUUCAUAUUAAGCUUUGUAAUGGGAAGUUUGUUCAUUUUUGAUAAAUAAUUUUUUUCAAA